rnacentral:rRNA from 1 species
GACGAACGCUGGCGGCGUGCUUAGCACAUGCAAGUCGAACGGAAAGGCCCUGCUUUUGUUGGGUGCUCGAGUGGCGAACGGGUGAGUAACACGUGAGUAACCUGCCCUUGACUUUGGGAUAACUUCAGGAAACUGGGGCUAAUACCGGAUAGGAGCUCCUGCUGCAUGGUGGGGGUUGGAAAGUUUCGGCGGUUGGGGAUGGACUCGCGGCUUAUCAGCUUGUUGGUGGGGUAGUGGCUUACCAAGGCUUUGACGGGUAGCCGGCCUGAGAGGGUGACCGGCCACAUUGGGACUGAGAUACGGCCCAGACUCCUACGGGAGGCAGCAGUGGGGAAUAUUGAAAAAUGGGCGGAAGCCUGAUGAAGCAACGCCGCGUGCGGGAUGACGGCCUUCGGGUUGUAAACCGCUUUAGCAUGUGACGAAGCGUGAGUGACGGUAAUGGGUAAAGAAGCACCGGCUAACUACGUG